rnacentral:rRNA from 1 species
AUGUACGAAAAAAAAGAAAGAUCUCAGGUUGCGACAAAUGACGCACAUGCAAUGCACCGUUUGUUAACCCGUGACAAGGUGGGGGCGACCUUUGCAAAAAGGUACCCUUAUUUUUUUUUAAGAAUUGCCAACACUUUAUUGAUCAAUGCAUGUGAAUCUCCACUACUAUUAAAUAAGCAAGUAGAGGCAAAAACAUUACAUCUCAGCCACAUAUCCACCGUUCGUCAGUGGACCAGAUUUGUCCUGAUGUUGUAUCACAUCAAAUUCACAUAUUUAUUUAUUAAUUUUAAUUAUCUCCACAACACGUCUCCAUCAACGACGAGGCGCACGCCUACAGUGACUUCGUAA